CAGGCUUAACACAUGCAAGUCGAACGCAGCAUCCAAGCUUGCUUGGAUGGCUGAGUGGCAGACGGGUGAGUAACACGUGGGGACUUACCCUUUAGACUGGGACAACCACUGGAAACGGUGGCUAAUACCGGAUACGCCCUACGGGGGAAAGAUUUAUCGGAAUUAGAUGAGCCCGCGUAAGAUUAGCUAGUUGGUGGGGUAAUGGCCUACCAAGGCGACGAUCUUUAGCUGGUCUGAGAGGAUGAUCAGCCACACUGGGACUGAGACACGGCCCAGACUCCUACGGGAGGCAGCAGUGGGGAAUAUUGGACAAUGGGCGAAAGCCUGAUCCAGCCAUGCCGCGUGAGUGAUGAAGGCCCUAGGGUUGUAAAGCUCUUUCACCGGUGAAGAUAAUGACGGUAACCGGAGAAGAAGCCCCGGCUAACUUCGUGCCAGCCGCCGCGGUAAUAC
rnacentral:rRNA from 1 species